rnacentral:tRNA from 2 species
GAGUGAUUGGCUCAAGGGUAGAGCACUUCCUUCACACGGAAGAGGCCGCUGAUUCGAAUCCAGCAUUGCCCACCA